rnacentral:rRNA from 1 species
GGUGGUAAUGCCGGAUGCUCCAUCACACUGCAUGGUGUGUUGGGAAAGCCUUUGCGGCAUGGGAUGGGGUCGCGUCCUAUCAGCUUGAUGGCGGGGUAACGGCCCACCAUGGCUUCGACGGGUAGCCGGCCUGAGAGGGCGACCGGCCACAUUGGGACUGAGAUACGGCCCAGACUCCUACGGGAGGCAGCAGUGGGGAAUAUUGCACAAUGGGCGCAAGCCUGAUGCAGCGACGCCGCGUGAGGGAUGGAGGCCUUCGGGUUGUAAACCUCUUUUGUUAGGGAGCAAGGCAUUUUGUGUUGAGUGUACCUUUCGAAUAAGCACCGGCUAACUACGUGCCAGCAGCCGCGGUAAUACGUAGGGUGCAAGCGUUAUCCGGAAUUAUUGGGCGUAAAGGGCUCGUAGGCGGUUCGUCGCGUCCGGUGUGAAAGUCCAUCGCUUAACGGUGGAUCCGCGCCGGGUACGGGCGGGCUUGAGUGCGGUAGGGGAGACUGGAAUUCCCGGUGUAACGGUGGAAUGUGUAGAUAU